GAUUCCAAUCAAGAAUUGGGCUCUACAUUUGAUGGCAAGUCUCUUUGGUGUCUGGAACAUUCUCCCCGCCUUUGCGUGAUAGAUAACACCUUCACCUGGCACCAAAUACACAGACUUUUCAGCAGAAGGAAGCAUCCAAACUUGGGAAGUCUCGUCUCAGGGCCAUGGAGAACCUGUGAGGUCUCUGGAGUCCGUGCCAUAGGGGGGCCCGGGGCACAGCUCAUUGGGUCAGGAAGAAGGGGCUUGGCUCACAGAGUGCUUGAGAAUGAAGGUCUUAAAAGUGGGCGCUGGUCCCACCUGAAGGCCCCUCACUGUCUCCAGGACAGAGCUUCCAGCCUGUCUCCCACUUCCCCUGGCCCAGCCCCAUUGUUUCCCGCCCUGACCACUGGGGCGCCUCCUCCCCAGGCUCCCUGCUUCUGCCUAGGGCCCUACAGGCCUGGCAUGACACACCCCAUUGCCUCUUGGAGCUCACCUGCCCCUAGCCUCGUCCCUUCCUCGGCUCCAGGGCUCUGGCCUCCUUGCUGCCCCAUGACGGGCUCCUCGACUGCUGUACCACCCCCCAUGCAGGCAGAUUCUCUCCUCCUUUGGGGGGAGGGCAGCCUGGCCCCCAGCAUCCUGCCUGCCCACCCUGCAGGAGUAGGCCCUCCUGCCACACCUGCUUGCAGCUCCCUGUCUCCCCACCACCAAGCUCUUUACUACUGUUUGAAGAAACACAUUCAUGGGUCUGCUCACUGGGCAACCGCCCCUGUCUGCUUAGGGUGUCAGUCCCAGGGGGGCCAGCUGGGGUCUGGGGGCUGUGCCCCAGGGCCUGGAACAGUGUUGGUGUGUGGUAUGCAGUAGAUGCUCGAUGCAUGCUUGGUGAAUGAAUGAGCACUAGCGCUUUAAUGUCAGGCAUUGGAGUCUCUGCAUGGUUCUGAAAAUUCCAGCAAUGGAAUCCCUCAAGGCUCACGGGCCCCAGGCCAGCUCCUGCUGCGGGACACCUUCUGCCUCCGUAGCUGCCAUCUGCCCCAGGAGAGCCCUUCCACGUGUGACAGAGCUGGUCCCGUGAGGCGCAGGAAACAGGCCGGGGAGGCUGGAAGCCCUCAGCAACCUUCUCACGGCGUGACACCUCAAAGUUGAUAACCUCUCUGCUCUCUGUGCCCCGAUUUCCUUGUCUCUGCAAAAGAGAGUGAAUAAUUUCUGGGACUUCCUUUAUUUCUCUUCCAAAUAUGCUUAUUAUUUUAUUGGCUUGUGGUGAAGCUCAGAGAAGUUUAUGGGUGGGGGAACUUCACCACUGCAACCUCCCUGGCAGCAGAAACAAUUCUUGCCAGGAGCUGACCAUGUGUGGGCCUGGAAUGGGCGUGUUCCUGGCUGAGGCCACUGUCUGCCCUGGGCUUGGCACACAGGGCUCUUUCUGCCUGGCCGGGCCUCCUUUCAGAGACUCGAACUCACUAGGCUGCCUCUAGUCUCAGGGCUUUGGCAGGUGCUGUUCCCUCUGCUUGAGAUGUUCUUCCUUCUAUCCUCAGCCUGGUUAAAUUCCUACCUCUGAUUCUGAUUUUGGCUCAAACACCACCUCUUUCAGGAAGCCUUCCCUGAUGACACCCCAUGAUUCAGGUCACUCGGUUAAACUUUUUUAAACAACUUUUUUUUUUUAAUCGCCAUUGCAUUACUUUAUUUAUUUGUUCUCAGCUCCCAGAAGGCUCCCUACCCCAUCAUCUGAGGUUAGAUUUCCCCUGGAGGGAAGUUGGGAGGCCCAGGCCCGUGAAUCAGCAAAGUUCUCCUUCCCCUCUUGGCACUUUGUCUGCAGAGGGUGAGAGAUGGUUUCCUCCAAGGGGACUAAGUCCAGGGGUGCAUAGAUGCCGGGGAGGUGGUGGGCAGGGUCUCUCCCCAUCCCCCAGACAGCCUUGGCCCAUCAUCGGCUCUCUACCUCCAUGACAACAGCUCCCUGCCUGAACCCCACCCCCCUUGACUGCUCUCCCUUCCCCCAUCCUUCCUGGAGAGCCAGAGGGAGCUUUCCAAAAUCCAAAUCUAGGGGCACCUGGGUGGCCCAGUGGCUCAGUGGUUGAGCGUCUGCCUUUGGCUUCAGGUUGUGAUCCUGGGGUCCUGAGAUCGAGUCCCGCAUCGGGCUUCCUGCAGGGAACCUGCUUCUCCCUCCUCCUGUGUCUCUGCCUCUCUCUCUCUGUGUCUCUCAUGAAUAAAUAAAUAAAUAAAAUCUUAAAAAAACCCA
rnacentral:lncRNA from 12 species